UUUACAAAAAAUGUAACAUUAUUCAAUCAAUUAGUACCCAGUAAACUUGAAAAUUGUUUUUUAUUCAUAUUUAGUGCUGUUCGUGGUUACAAGUGAGUUGUCCAACCAUGAACUCACAUCUAUUGGCGAUAACACUCAUUUCGUGUUUAGUUGUGGUUGGAUUAUUGUUUGAGCCAGUUGCUGGUCACAGUCUGUAUCAAUGGUCAUAUAACGAUGAUGAAUCCCAACUGGUUAGUCCAGAUCAAGGAGGUCAAAAUGAUGCCAUGGACGGUUAUGGAUACGGAGAUAAAAAUGGCGAUGUCGAUGAUCAUGAUGAUGGCGAUGACGAUGAUGACGAUUCCAGUUCAGAAGAAUCUGGCGAAAAUGGUGAUCAGCCUGGAGAUGUUAGUCAUCGAAAAUGUAAUAAACAUGGAAAGUAGAAGAAAUGGCAUUCUAAUCAAUUUAAUUGAAAGCUACGAAUAAUCUAAUUGUUUAAUUGUUUUCCAAUGUUUGUUGACCAUCAAAAAAACAUUUAACCUUGUACCAAUCAUUUUUACAAACAGUUAGCCACACAAUUUAGUUUACGUGAUUAAGAUUGGCAUUAACUCGAGAACGUGUUACAAAUGGUCAAAGGAUAAAACGAAAGUGAAGCAAAAAAGUUAUCCAAAAACAAGAGUUUAUCCAGGGUCAACAAUAAAUUCAAUUAAGUUAAUUGAUUUCAUGUUACAUUUUUUGCUUAUGUUUGUGUACAACUUUGUAUAACGAGCAUGAAUAAGUGUGCAACUCAAAAUAUAAUGAGCAUCUUGUCAAAGGUUAUUAAUAAUAAAUAUAGUUUCCAAUGUUGACUAUUAAUUGUAAAUCAAUUGUUGGCAUCAAAAAUGAACAUCAAAUUUUGACAGACUAGAUAUUUUUAAAUUUUGCGGUUAGAGUUUACUUAUAGAGGGCAUUUCAAUUUGUUUAUCGUUGUUAUGGUUAAGUUGAGGUUCAAUGUUUUUUCUAGAAAUUGUUUUUGUUUUGGUUUUGCUGUUCAAUUCAAUUGAGUUUAACUUAUUGUCUAAUUGUGUUUUGUAAAUACAUUUGAUAUGGAUACGAAGAAAGAGACGAAAAAAUCCUUUAUUAAAGAUUGGGACAAGAUCGUGAAAGAAUUCGAAGAGGAAGAAGCCAAAAAUAAUGAAGGAUCAGCUGAUGAUUUAUUUCGCCAAAUUUACGCCAACGGAUCUGAAGAGGUCAGACGAGCGAUGGUUAAAAGUUUCACGGAAAGUGGAGGAACUGUUCUGAGCACUAACUGGAACCAAGUGUCUAAAGGAAAAACAGAAGUCAAGCCCCCAGAUGGUUGUGAAUUUAAAAAGUGGACUUAAAAGGAUGCUAUCAUCAAAGUUAUCUUCCUAAUGCAGAAAUUGUAGUUAAAGCGUUGCAAAUAAAUUUUCAUUUAUAUCAUUUAUAUAAAUU